UCGCUGUGAUGAUGGAUUCCAAACCAUUCGUAGUUUCCACCAGAAGUCAUCGAGACUUAUGUUGGCAAAUUUCCUUCCUUGGAUGUCUGAGCGA